rnacentral:rRNA from 1 species
UACCAGCACCCCGAGUGGUCGGGACGAUUAUUGGGCCUAAAGCAUCCGUAGCCGGUUCUACAAGUCUUCCGUUAAAUCCACCUGCUUAACAGAUGGGCUGCGGAGGAUACUAUGGAGCUAGGAGGCGGGAGAGGCAAGCGGUACUUAGUGGGUAGGGGUAAAAUCCGUUGAUCCAUUGAAGACCACCAGUGGCGAAGGCGGCUUGCCAGAACGCACUCGACGGUGAGGGAUGAAAGCUGGGGGAGAAAACCGG